rnacentral:rRNA from 1 species
UACGUAGGGGGCAAGCGUUGUCCGGAAUCAUUGGGCGUAAAGAGCGCGUAGGCGGCUCGAUAAGUCUGCUGUGAAAGUCCAGGGCUCAACCCUGGAAGGCCGGUGGAAACUGUCGGGCUAGAGUCCGGAAGAGGCGAGUGGAAUUCCCGGUGUAGCGGUGAAAUGCGCAGAUAUCGGGAGGAACACCAAUGGCGAAGGCGGCUCGCUGGGACGGUACUGACGCUGAGACGCGAAAGCGUGGGGAGCAAACAGG